rfam:Ictidomys tridecemlineatus contig097044, whole genome shotgun sequence.
GGGCUCUGACCUGAGACCUCUGGGUUCUGAGCUGUGAUGUUGCUUCCGAGCUGGGAUCUCCGGGGUCUUGGUUCAGGGUCG